GACGAACCGUGCGAACGUUAUUCGGAAUCACUGGGCUUAAAGCGCGUGUAGGCGGGACGGCACGUCGGUCGCUGAAAUCCCCCGGCUUAACCGGGGAACUGGCGUCGAUACGACCGCCCUGGAGGGCGUAGGGGGACCUGGAACUUCCGGUGGAGCGGUGAAAUGCGUUGAGAUCGGAAGGAACGCCCGUGGCGAAAGCGAGGUCCUGGACGCCUACUGACGCUGAGACGCGAAAGCCAGGGGAGCAAACGGG
rnacentral:rRNA from 1 species